UAAUACGAAGGACCCGAGCGUUAUCCGGAUUUAUUGGGUUUAAAGGGUGCGUAGGCGGACUUAUAAGUCAGUGGUGAAAUCCCCAGGCUUAACCUGGGAACUGCCAUUGAAACUGUUUGUCUUGAGUACAUUUGAAGCGGGCGGAAUGUGUCAUGUAGAGGUGAAAUUCUUAGAUAUGACACAGAACACCGAUUGCGAAGGCAGCUCGCUAAACUGUAACUGACGCUGAGGCACGAAAGCGUGGGUAGCAAACAGGAUUAGAUACCCUGGUAGUCCACGCCCUAAACGAUGAUCACUCGAUGUGUGCGAUACACUGUACGCGUCUGAGCGAAAGCAUUAAGUGAUCCACCUGGGAAGUACGACCGCAAGGUUG
rnacentral:rRNA from 1 species